GUGCCAGCAGCCGCGGUAAUACAGAGAGUGCAAACGUUGUUCGGAAUCACUGGGCAUAAAGCGCACGUAGGCGGCGCCACAAGUGCGGGGUGAAAUCCCACGGCUUACCCGUGGAACUGCCUGGUAUACUGUGGUGCUAGAGGAUGGUAGGGGAGAGCGGAACUCCUGGUGGAGCGGUGAAAUGCGUAGAGAUCAGGAGGAACACCGGUGGCGAAGGCGGCUCUCUGGUCCAUUACUGACGCUGAGGUGCGAAAGCUAGGGGAGCAAACGGGAUUAGAUACCCUGGUAGUCC
rnacentral:rRNA from 1 species